UUUAGAGUAUGGUCUUGAUGAAGUUGUUGUGGAAAAUUGUUAUAACACUUAUCAUAAAUAAUCAUCACCAUCAUUCUUAUCUUUUACACUAGCAAACAACAACAAAAACCCUUCUUUAUGCACCCCUAUUUUCGGCAGCCAUAAUACACCAAAGAAACACUUUCCAUUUUCUACAAACACUCCAUUUUACACUAGAUUUAUUCAUUUCAAGAUCAUCCACACAUGAGUUAAACUUGGAGCAUUAUUUGGAGCACUUUUGGAGCUUAAUUUCUUCUUAUUUUCUUGUCUAACUAGUGCAAUCUUUAGCUUAAAGCUUAUGUUUAUGAUGAUCUCAUGAUUAGAUUCAUGUUAUUGACACGUACGGACGCUCACUUCGAUAUCAUAGUACGCGGAACGCAAACCUGUGAGAAACAAGUCUUGAGUCGGUGAUACAUGAUUGGAUGCAAUGAUUACCUUUCUUACGUCACACGCAACACGCUUCCGCAACUAGCAGGGUGUGACAAAUCAGACGGUUACAACGGUUCACAUGGUCAAAUGGUUACAAUGGUUCAAAAUGUAAUAUAAUGUGUCCAUAUGCUGGAUGAGCAUAUGCAACAGAAAUGCAAUGUAAAACAAUGUACUAGGUAUGCACACAAUGGACAUACAUAACAUGAAAUGUAAUGUAAAACAAUGUACUAAGUAUGCACACAAUGGACAUAC
rnacentral:lncRNA from 1 species